GAGACAUCAAGUCUCUUCAGUGGGAAGUCUUCAAGGAAACAGCUGGAGUAUGGGGAGUUGCUGAUUUCACUAAAAACGGAUUUGUAGAUCACAUUAACACCACAAAAGAUGCUACAGACUACCUCUGGUACACAACAAGUAUUUUUGUUCAUGCAGAGGAGGAUUUCCUAAGAAACAGAGGCACUGCAAUGCUUUUCGUUGAAUCAAAGGGUCAUGCUAUGCAUGUCUUCAUCAAUAAAAAGCUUCAAGCCAGUGCAUCUGGAAAUGGCACAG
rnacentral:misc_RNA from 1 species